AAAAACACAAAGAGAUAUGUAAUAGCCAAACCAAAUCUCUAUUGUCUGUUUCCAUAAAACGCAUAAGCUCACCUUAAGUUGGUUAAGCUCGAUAACUUGAUAGAAACACAUUUAAUUUAUAACAUACAACCAAAGCUACCGCUGUACCCCUAUUCUUUUCUAUUUCGCAAUAGGUUUGAGUUGGCUAUUACAUAUCUCUUUGUGUUUUU
rnacentral:misc_RNA from 1 species